rnacentral:rRNA from 1 species
UACGUAGGGUGCAAGCGUUGUUCGGAAUUACUGGGCGUAAAGGGCGCGUAGGCGGGCCCAUAUGUCGAUUGUGAAAGCCCUGGGCUUAACCUGGGAAUUGCAGUCGAAACUGCGGGUCUUGAGUGCCUGAGAGGAUGGCGGAAUUCCCGGUGUAGAAGUGAAAUUCGUAGAUAUCGGGAAGAACACCUGAGGCGAAGGCGGCUAUCUGGCGGUGCACUGACGCUGAGGCGCGAAAGCGUGGGGAGCAAACAGGAUUAGAUACCCCUGUAGUCC